GCUCCAUUCUCCUCUUGAUGGCGCUGCUUAGCUUACUGGGGGUGGAUCGCUGCAGCGCUUGUAGGUGCAUAUGCGCAUGCGUGGGACUGGUGAACAUGGUAUCACCCAGCCACCCAGUGUCGAGUAUUGGAACUUUGUUCUCCAAGAUCAGCAAUCGCACACCCGUCCUUUGUCUUCGGCUUCCAUCUACUCUCCACUUUUACACAGUCCGUGACCAAGCCCCAGGCAGUACCUCCCUCCUGAGUUUUGUCUCAGAUGCGGCUGUGUUUCCGACCCCUCACUUCUGAGGGACUGCGGCUUUGACCCGUUCUGCCCCUCUGCUGGAGGGUCUCACCGAGCAAUGGUCGGGUGCCAGCCGCACCCAGGAACAUUCGCAGGACCUUGCUGCUGCUGCUGCCCAGAGACUGCGGCCAGGUGCCAGCCCCCCCCAGAGAAAGUUCCCGGGAUCGUGUAGCAGCAGCGUUUCCGGGAUUACGGAAAACCACAACACACACCUGGCGCCAGGCUUCACCCUUAACGACCUCGUUCCAGCGCCAGCGAACGUGGUGGUUCUCCCGGGUCCGCUGGGGCCUUGCCUUUGGGGGACCCACACAGCCUCUACCCGAUGUCCUCCCAGCAGGGGAACUGCCUCUCUCCGUGUGGCCCGAAGAACCCUGGACUCCGCUCUGCUCCUGGGGAUCCGCCCUUCCCACCAGAGCACCACCAGAACUUCUGGUGCUGGUGGCCACCUGGGAUCUACCUCUAAGUUCCUGCUGCCAGACUGGCCCAUGGAACAUUCUCCCUGUGAUGGCUGUCCUGGCUGCCCAACUAGAAGAACGCAGGUCUAUGGGAAGUCAGAGGCUGUGUUUAUUCGCCCGGAUCUCAUCUCACACGGUGCCGGGCACACGAGGAGUAUUGAGUGCCUGUAUGCUAAAUACAUGAGUGCCUCGAAACCACCACCCUCUCAAUCACUUUACAGAGGAAGAAGCUGGAGUCCACAGAGCUUCUUCCAAUCCAGGCUGAGAAAGGGGCCCGUGAAGUGCUUCUGGGAUGAGGACUUGGGUCUCGUUCAAGAACAAGGGCACACACGUCUCUGGGUCUGCGCCUAACACUACUGCGUAUGGCUCCAGGCCAAAUCUCCAAAUGAAAUCAGGCCGGGGAGAAAUGAACAACCGAGAUGCACAAAACAAUGUGAAGAAGAAACGAAUAAUAAUAUAAAAAAAAAGCCGGUGGUUGAAGCCCAAGAUGAGCCGUGGGAGGGGCUCAGGACAUGACACGAUGUCAGGGGUGGACUGCUGUGUGCCAACAGUGGUGAUGAUUGACAACAUCGAACAGCGUUCUGGACACCUUCCUCCUUCACCGUUCCAAAAGCACAUUUAUUUGCUGUGCCUCUCGCCCCCUGCCCUGCACUGCCUGGCGUGGGGUGCUGCCCACAGUGGGUGCUCAAUCAAUGCUGCAGGCUGAUUGGUGAUUGGCAUCAGCAGUUUUGACUCCACGCCGGGAGUCGAGUCUCCAGCCCUGGACUAACUACCCAGCACUCUUUUAUGGGAGCUGAUUUGGGGGAGACUAGCCUUGAGGUGAGACAGCAGCAGAGCUUCUCGAAUGGAAAGGUCUUCGAAGAGAAGGGCUGGGGGCCUGCCGGGAGCCACCUCGCCUCUGCUACGGGCUUUCUCAGUCCAGCCAACAGAGAGGCUCCAGACAGCUUCUGCAGCCCAGGAGCUUUGACUUCGCACUCAAGUCCAUGUCUUGAGCCUAAACAACCCAAAAGAAUGUAACUUGCACAGAGUACAUACUCAAAACAACCUGCUUUAAAAGGUAAGCAAAGCAUUGACCAGAGGUUCCUUGGCCUCCAGCCCGUCAUUUCCUCUUCAUUUCCCAUAUGACACGCUCAGCUGGGUCAGGCUGAGGUGUAUCCCUGGGCCUGCCACUGGGGGCAACACUCUCGGGGGAUUUGGAGGGCUAUAGGUGAAGAUGUUUUGCAUAUGGUCUGGGAGAGUGGCUCAGAGAGGGGCGAGCGGAGGCUGGCAGGGUGGGAGAGUCUCCCCUCUGAGAAAGCAUCCUUCUCCUGUUCUCCAAACACCCUGAGUAGAGGAAAGGGAGAGAUAGGAGGGCAAGAUGGUGGUGGUAAUGGUGGGGCCUGGGGUGGGGAGAUGGGUGGGAUAAGGGGAUGGGAUCCCAAGCUCCCCAGGUCUCCGGUCCCGGCCCAGGCCCAGGCCCAGGCCCAGGCAGUGGGGCAAUAAAUAGAAUGGGGGGCCCUCAUCUGGGCUGUCCUCCUUGACUCUGAUUUUGGCUUCUUGUCUGGUGUCCUCACUUCACCCUCUCUGCAGCCAAAGCCAAGGCUGAGCCUCCCUAACUCAUGGGGGAGAAACUAGCUCUGCGUGCCCAGAAGUCCAGUGUGCAUGCAGAUAGAAAGGCGGGUGGCCUUCAAAGCCUUCCUCCUUCUGGAAGGCUUCUCUGCUUAAUCCCAGAGGCACACAGUCUUCGUUUUCAGCACUGCCACCAGGGAAUGUAAGAGUUGGACUGGAUAACUGAGCACCAGGACGGCAGGAGCCAUGUCUGCUUUGUUCAUUGACAUAUCCCGAGUGCUUAACACAGCUCCUGGCCCAGGGAAGGGGCUCCAUCAGUAGUCACUGAAUGAAUGAAUGAACAAAUUCAUACACUCUUCUUUUUCCAAAGUCAAAAUCUUAUUUCAAAUGAAAUGCUUGCUAGCUGCCAAUAUGCAAAAACAGAGCAACGAACUGUUAUGGAGAGAUGGGAGGGGGUUCAGAACUCCGCAUCCCAAGUAAUUCCCCCCCUCCCCCGUUCUUCUGCAACGGUCCCUAAGGAUUGUUUGCAUCCUCUGAAAUUCAGACUGAAACGCCUCUCAUUUUCACCAUGAAGAAGCAGGCCCCCAAGGAAAAGUGGCUCAUCUAAGCCAGAACCGGCACCCAGGUCUCCUGACUCCCGGGCUAUUGUGAAAGUGCUCUGUUUAGACUGUAUUAACUCACCACACUAGGUGCACAGCAAACGCUCAGUGAAUGAAGUGCCGGGAGGGAGGGGCUUGUCGAUUCCCAGGCUGUGCUCGCCUGGCAAGAGUCACGAGCGAUGCCGAGGAAGGAUGCAGCACCAAAAUAAAAUGUAUUGUAUUUAAAUAUUCCCCAAGUCAUUUUGUGUAUUUAAGUCUUAAUUCAUCUCCCCUAAAUCUCUCCCCGCUACAUUAAUGUGACGGCUUUGACAGAAAGAUGAAUAACAUUAUUAAAGAAGCUCGUGAGCAAAUUUCACUCAUAAAAAUCUCCCAUUCACUCACACACUUUGCCGUUCCCACUCAGUGUUCUGUUCCCGCUCACGUCCCAGGUCCACAUCCCUCUGGGCCUCAGGCUGCUGCUGGAGGGUGAUCAAUGGGAGGCUCAGAGGAUGGAGGUGUGGAUGCAUUUCAAACCCAAAUCUUCCCCUUUUGGUUGAAAAAUGCAUCAUUUGAGCCAAACCCCAGGAGCGGCAAGAUUCAGGCUGGAGAGGAGACAGAAAGGCGGAACCUCCUUUGAAGAAAAGCUUCCCACGGAAUGUGGCACAAAUAUGGCAAAUAACCAGGAGGGUGCCUUCCUUGGGGAUGCGCAUCUCAGGAGGAGAGGGACCCUCACUACAAAACCCUCCUCUGGGGAUGCUUUCAGACUGACACUUCUCAACCUGCUGGCUCCCGCCCAGCCGGAGGCAGCUCUGGAACUUGCCAUCACGUCCUGUUCCUCCUCCUGGAGCCCUGCUUGGCCUCGCUGGCUGGGGAUUUAUGCCCCUCUUUGCCAAGCCGCCCUGAUGGAUCGCUUCCAGGAUGGCAGCGGAGUCAGUGGUAUUCAUCUCCCCGACGUCUCAACCUUCUCCUUUAAAUCAUUGCUCAUGUUGGCAGCCGUUCGUUCGCUGGGCCUGGCUGCUCCGUCAGUGGGACUCCCAGCUGGGAAGGACCUGCAGGGUCUGCCUCUGGAGGGACCAAAGGCUCCUCCUCUGCAGACUCUCCCUCAAACACCAGCCCUUCCUCACCUGGAAAAGCCCUCUUGUUAGAUCAUCUGAAGCUGGGAAGCCAACCCCAGAGCCCCCAAAGGCCACCUCUGCCCUAUCAUUUACUAUGUGAUGUAAAAUCAUCCAUUGGUUUGGUGACCAGGCUAGUGGCUGCUCUGGGCCAUGGAUGAUCCUCAUUUUCUCAUGUGCCCAGUGCUCAGUGGAGUGCCUGCCUCAUCAUCGGUGCACAAAGACUGUUUGAUGAACUGAAUCCUUACAUUGUGCAGUUGGAUGCAACCUCUUUGGAAAACUAUUUGACAGAAUCUACUGAAAGCUGAGUGUAUCUGUGCUCUGACUUGCCUGGGUAUGUAUCCAAACGAAACAAGGGCUCAUGUCUACUCAGACAUGUACAAGAAUGUUUGUGGCAACCUUAUUUCCAAUAGGCACAAACAAAAGCAAUCCAAUGUCCAUCAACAGUAGAAUGGCCAAACAAAUUGUAGCAUAUCUACACAAUGAUCGCAUCGCUUUGGUGUUGGGUAGCAAGGAUAAAGGGUGAGGUACUGUUCACACGACAUGGGUCAGUCUCACAAGCGGAAUGUGAAACCAUGGAAGCCAGGAGUACAUAUGUGUGCUUACAUUGGUAUGAAGCUCCAAGGCAUGCAAACCCUGACUACGAUGUUUGGAGGUUGGAGUAAUGGUUAUCGUUGAGGGUGGCUGGUUGUGGUCUACUGACUGGGAGGAGAUACAGGAGGGCUUCUGGGAUAUUGGAAGUAUUCUAAAUCUUGAUCUGGGUGGUAGUUACACAGUGGAUAUACAUGUAAAAUUUUGCUGGGCUGUACUCUUAUUACCUGUAACCUUUACUGCAUGUAAAUUAAACCUUAUUAAAAAUGGUAAAGAAAAUGUGGAGUGGUUCCUAAUCUUUUUUGCACUAAAAUAUGUACCUCGAUGUAUUCUCAUUCUAUCUUCUCCAUAAUCCCAAUCCAUGCGAUAUUAUUACAUUGGGCUUUUUCUGUUUUAUAUUAUGAAAACAACUGGCAUAUUGUGUAUACGUUUUCUAAGUACACAAGAAAUCAUGCCCCCCCCCAAAUAUUAAACAUCUUGU